rnacentral:rRNA from 1 species
CCUACGUGAGGCAGCAGUGGGGAAUAUUGCACAAUGGGGGAAACCCUGAUGCAGCGACGCCGCGUGAGUGAUGAAGUAUUUCGGUAUGUAAAGCUCUAUCAGCAGGGAAGAUAAUGACGGUACCUUACUAAGAAGCUCCGGCUAAAUACGUGCCAGCACCCGCGGUAAUACGUAUGGAGCAAGCGUUAUCCGGAUUUACUGGGUGUAAAGGGAGCGCAGACGGCGGGGCAAGUCUGAUGUGAAAGUCCGGGGCUCAACCCCGGGACUGCAUUGGACACUGUCCGGCUAGAGUGCAGGAGAGGUAAGUGGAAUUCCUAGUGUAGCUGUGAAAUGCGUAGAUAUUAGGAGGAACACCAGAGGCGAAGGCGGAUUACUGGACUGUAACUGACGUUGAGGCUCGAAGGCGUGGGGAGCAAACAGGAUUAGAUACCCGUGUAGUC